UACGUAGGGUGCAAGCGUUGUCCGGAAUUAUUGGGCGUAAAGAGCUCGUAGGCGGUUCGUCGCGUCGGCUGUGAAAACCCGGAGCUCAACUCCGGGCCUGCAGUCGAUACGGGCGGACUUGAGUGUUGCAGGGGAGACUGGAAUUCCUGGUGUAGCGGUGAAAUGCGCAGAUAUCAGGAGGAACACCGGUGGCGAAGGCGGAUCUCUGGGCCGUAACUGACGCUGAGGAGCGAAAGCAUGGGUAGCGAACAGG
rnacentral:rRNA from 1 species